UCUUUACUAGCCGUGAACAUUACAUUUGCACCUCACCAUGUGGUCAUGUCAUAAAUGCCAGAGUAGCGCUUUUGUCAUCAUGUGAGGUGGAGUACAUUCGCAGGCAUGCUCUCACCAGGAACCUGAUUUUGCCAGGUCUAUAGCAUCGGCACGUUGUCAAGGAAGCCGACACUCUUGUGCAUUUUACUCCAACUUGUAUGCAUGGCAUUGAAUUCUUUGUUCCCACAUUUGCUUCCCAUGUUGCUUUAUCUUUCAUAGCUUGUUCCACAUUCCCAGAUGUAGAAGGCAGCAAGGAAGUUUUGUGUUUCGGCAUAUGAAAUUUUUAUGCAUUUUGGCACCAAUUUGCAUUUCUGUGAAAACAGGAAAUUGUCGUGACGGUAGUAAUUUCUUCUGCAAACUGGAUGUUUUAACAGAGGCAGUUGCGUCAUAACAUUGACACGGAGAAUUUUGACUGAGAGACAGCUGCAUUUGAGUCACUGACGUUCUUGUGUAACAACAACCUUUGGUGCCAUUUCCAAAUGGGCAGCUGGUACGUUUUGUUUGCCUUCCAUUUGUAAAUUGGUGACUGAGCGAAAGCUGCCAUGUCUGAUGACAUUCAUCUCGGAAUUUAUUUUUAAUAGCCAGCCGAUGAAAACACAUAUGGUUAUUGAGAAAUCCGUACCUGAACCUGUAAGCUUUAUUGAAUAACUAGCUGUAUACCAUUUCUUGUGUACAAGCCACCCAGCCUUGUUGCUGCUUUCUGGCCAAAUAAAUGCUCAGCUUAAAAGAA
rnacentral:lncRNA from 1 species